AAUAUUGGACAAUGGGGGCAACCCUGAUCCAGCCAUGCCGCGUGUGUGAAGAAGGUCUNCGGAUUNUNAAGCACUUUAAGUUGGGNGGAAGGGCUUUAGGUUAAUACCCUGAAGUUUUGACGUUACCAACAGAAUCAGCACCGGCUAACUCUGUGCCAGCAGCCGCGGUAAUACAGAGGGUGCAAGCGUUAAUCGGAAUUACUGGGCGUAAAGCGCGCGUAGGUGGUUCAGUAAGAUUAGUGUGAAAUCCACGGGCGUAACCUGGGAACUGCUUUCAAAACUGCUGAGCUAGAGUACAGUAGAGGGUAGAGGAAUUUCCUGUGUAGCGGUGAAAUGCGUAGAUAUAGGAAGGAACACCAGUGGCGAAGGCGACUACCUGGACUGAUACUGACACUGAGGUGCGAAAGCGUGGGGAGCAAACA
rnacentral:rRNA from 1 species